rnacentral:rRNA from 1 species
CCUACGGGUGACAGCAGUGAGGAAUAUUGGUCAAUGGACGAGAGUCUGAACCAGCCAAGUAGCGUGAAGGAUGACUGCCUUAUGGGUUGUAAACUUCUUUUAUAUGGGAAUAAAAUGUUCCACGUGUGGGAUUUUGUCUGUACCAUAUGAAUAAGGAUCGGCUAACUCCGUGCCAGCAGCCGCGGUCAUACGGAGGAUCCGAGCGUUAUCCGGAUUUAUUGGGUUUAAAGGGAGCGUAGGUGGAUUGUUAAGUCAGUUGUGAAAGUUUGCGGCUCAACCGUAAAAUUGCAGUUGAAACUGGCAGUCUUGAGUACAGUAGAGGUGGGCGGAAUGCGUGGUGUAGCGGUGAAAUGCUUAGAUAUCACGAAGAACUCCGAUUGCGAAGGCAGCUCACUGGACUGCAACUGACGCUGAAGCACGAAAGCGUGGGUAUCGAACAGGAUUAGAUACCCCUGUAGUC